GAUGAAGAACGUAGCGAAAUGCGAUAAGUAAUGUGAAUUGCAGAAUUCAGUGAAUCAUCGAAUCUUUGAACGCACAUUGCGCCCGCCAGUAUUCUGGCGGGCAUGCCUGUCUGAGCGUCAUUUCAACCCUCAUGCCCCUAGGGCGUGGUGUUGGGGAUCGGCCAAAGCCCGCGAGGGACGGCCGGCCCCUAAAUCUAGUGGCGGACCCGUCGUGGCCUCCUCUGCGAAGUAGUGAUAUUCCGCAUCGGAGAGCGAUGAGCCCCUGCCGUUAAACCCCCAACUUUCCAAGGUUGACCUCAGAACAGGUAGGAAUACCCGCUGAACUUAAGCAUAUCAAUAAGCGGAGGA
rnacentral:misc_RNA from 1 species